rnacentral:rRNA from 1 species
CUACGGGCUGCUGCAGUGGGGAAUAUUGCACAAUGGGCGCAAGCCUGAUGCAGCCAUGCCGCGUGUAUGAAGAAGGCCUUCGGGUUGUAAAGUACUUUCAGCGGGGAGGAAGGGAGUAAAGUUAAUACCUUUGCUCAUUGACGUUACCCGCAGAAGAAGCACCGGCUAACUCCGUGCCAGCAGCCGCGGUAAUACGGAGGGUGCAAGCGUUAAUCGGAACUACUGGGCGUAAAGCGCACGCAGGCGGUUUGUUAAGUCAGAUGUGAAAUCCCCGGGCUCAACCUGGGAACUGCAUCUGAUACUGGCAAGCUUGAGUCUCGUAGAGGGGGGUAGAAUUCCAGGUGUAGCGGUGAAAUGCGUAGAGAUCUGGAGGAAUACCGGUGGCGAAGGCGGCCCCCUGGACGAAGACUGACGUUCAGGUGCGAAAGCGUGGGGAGCAAACAGGAUUAGAUACCCUAGUAGUC